UACGGAGGGAGCUAGCGUUAUUCGGAAUUACUGGGCGUAAAGCGCACGUAGGCGGCUUUGUAAGUUAGAGGUGAAAGCCUGGAGCUCAACUCCAGAAUUGCCUUUGAUACUGCAUGGCUUGAAUCCAGGAGAGGUGAGUGGAAUUCCGAGUGUAGAGGUGAAAUUCGUAGAUAUUCGGAAGAACACCAGUGGCGAAGGCGGCUCACUGGACUGGUAUUGACGCUGAGGUGGCGAAAGCGUGGGGAGCAAACAGG
rnacentral:rRNA from 1 species